ACUGCAUCCUAAGAAGCAACUAGAAUGAGGGGUAAAGUGGUAAAAUAAUAGAAUAUAGGUAAUAGAGGGGUAUGUGGGUAACUGUAGUAUGUAGGGCAAAAUAGAAAUAUUGUAUUACACUUGUUUCAAAAAGUUCUCACCCCUUUUCUGGAUUUCUGGAGAAAGAAAAAUUGCAGGUCUCACUUUUCUUGCUCUUUCACUCUUUUCUCUCCAACCAAACUGCCCAUUUUACUCUUUAUGUCUGCUUUUCCCUUUACUUCCUCUUUACCAACUGUUGGAUAAAAAAAAUAUAUCCCAUAAACUAGUACAUACGUUUUUUUAGCAAUUUACAUAUGCAGUGUAAUCCUUGGCACUUAAUUUCCUAUUCUUUCUAAAAUGAGAAAACUUGCUUUGUUUUUACUGUGAUGUUUCUACCUUGGCUAACCCCUAUCUGGGACUAAGGGCAAACUAUUCCUUAUAUAUAUAUAUAUAUGCCACUUGAGGCUAACUCAAGUUGUAAGUGACUGCUUGUGUGAGUGGUGUGAGGUUCAAAUUCUUGUAAAUGCCUCUUAUAUACAUGUAUAUAUACAUAUAUAUAUAUAUCUUGAAUUAUAUUGUGAGGCUUGAUAUUGUGCAUCCAACUGACUGCUUGAGAGCAUCCAAGUUUACUUUUUGUGACUUUGUCUUGUAAGUUCUUUAUAAGUUCAUUUCAUGGUUAGAGCCUAUAGCAUCACAAAAUUUUUUCUACAAAUAAUUCAGUCUUCCUAACUUCCCAUCUCAGCCAUAAAGCUUGAUUAACAGAUCUGUAGAAGGAAGCUGGUUUGGGGCUUGGGGACUGGAAAAAAUGCUGUGGGAUUUAAUCAUCUUUAAGAAAAUACGCUCUGUACUUGGAGGAGAUAUUAGAUUUAUGCUCUGUGGUGGAGCUCCUUUAUCUGCAGAUUCUCAACGCUUCAUCAAUAUCUGCAUGGGGGCUCCUAUUGGCCAAGGAUAUGGCUUGAUAGAAACUUUUGCUGGAGCUGCUUUUUCUGAGGCAGAUGACACAGCAGUGGGCCGUGUAGGGCCACCCCUUCCUUGUUGCUACAUUAAGUAGCAUUUGCAAGAGCCUUAGCUUCCCCAAAGAAGUCGGAAUGACACCUUCGAGAAGAUUAUUUUCCAUGGUUAAAGAUUAAUUUCACUUGAAGAUGGAGCUGCAAAAUCUGAAACAGAGGAAAGCCAGUCACAAACAGUUCCUCACGAUGCCGAGGCUAUUCCAGUUGCUAAGCCAGUGAGCAUAAGUGCAACUAUUUCCACUGUCUUGGCAAGUGCUGGGAAUACUUUGGAGGGGUCUGUGGCAGAACUUGUGUUGAGUCCUCUUCGACUUGCAUUUGAGACAAAGAACUUGAAAAU